CCGCGGGAAAGGAGCUGGUCGGGCGGAAGUGAUAUCCGACCUCGCUGCUCGGCCGGGGCCACCUCCGCCACUUCUGGAGCCUCGAAUUUUUGCUCUGGCCCCAACCCUCGGGUGUUAGGGAGAGGGAGAGUGCCGCGCUUGAACGAAUAAUUCCAGAAUGAGGAGGCUGGAAGAGUGUCGGAGUCUCCACACCAGGCUCUUUUUUGACAGACAAGAACCGCAGUGGAGAGCCAGUCCCACUCUUCCUGCUUAGGGUAUACAGUUGAAUGGGCAGUUCGUGUACUUCCACAACCCUGGCCACUGCUUUGAAUUCAAGCUAAUGGAAAACCUGGAGCCAGAACUCCCCUGCCAAGCUACCCCAUGACUCCUGACCCACGAAACAACAGGGAUCGUCCCAGGAGAAACCAGAUGAAACCUGGAGGAGGCGGCAGACAGUACAGUACACUACUCACACAACAGCCCUAUUGCAGCUACCAUUCCAGU